AGAUGGCGACCGGCGCACGGGUGAGUAACACGUAUCCAACCUGCCGAUAACUCGGGGAUAGCCUUUCGAAAGAAAGAUUAAUACCCGAUGGCAUAAUAGAACCGCAUGGUUUGAUUAUUAAAGAAUUUCGGUUAUCGAUGGGGAUGCGUUCCAUUAGGCAGUUGGUGGGGUAACGGCCCACCAAACCUUCGAUGGAUAGGGGUUCUGAGAGGAGGUCCCCCACAUUGGAACUGAGACACGGUCCAA
rnacentral:rRNA from 1 species